GUGGGAGAUCUGGAGGCGAACCGGUGACCGAAUCUAUUAACUCGGUAGGCCAACCUACGACCGUCCGGUUGAACCAACUCGCGUAAAAGAGUCGGUUGUCCCAUCACUAGCCACCUCCACUCAGAAAAUGUGUACAUUUACAGUGGCGCCACUAGGUGGAGGUAUUAAACUUUAAUGAGAUUGAGUUGUUGGAUGACCGAUGCUAACGAAAGGACAGCACAAACUGUAAAACAAACGCACC